ensembl:lncRNA
AUGGUGCAAUCUCGGCUUACUGCAACCUCUGCCUCCCAGGGUCUCUCUCUGUUGUACAGGCUUGAGGGCAGGUGCAAUCUCAGCUCACUGCAACCUCCACCUCCUGAGGUGCCAAUUCAAGCAAUUCUACUGCCUCAGCCUCCUGAGUAUCUGGGAUUACAGGCAUGUUACCACCACACCCAGCUAAUUUUUGUAUUUUUAGUAGAGGCAAGGUUUCACCAUGUUAGCCAGACUGGUCUCAUACUCCUGACCUCUGGAAUUAAAGGCUCAUGCCACCACACCCAGUUAAUUUUUUACAUUUUUAGUAGAGACAAGGUUUUACCAUGUUAGCCAGGCUAGUCUCAUACUCACGACCUCAAGCGAUCCACCUGCCUCGGCCUCGUAAAGAGCUGGUAUUACAGGCUUGAGCCACCACAUCUGGCCCUGAAAUACAUUUUUAUUAUUUAAACACUCCCUAACACCCACUAUAUGCUAAGUACUGUUUGAAUAUUGAAGAUACAACAAAGAACAAAAAGUUAUGAGGGAAAUAGACAAUAAACAGCUAAACAUAUGGUGAUUCAAGUCCUGUAAUCCUACACUUUGGGAGGCCUAGGUGGAGGACGACUUGAGCCCAGUAGUUCAAGACCAGCCUGGGCAGCAUAGUGAGACCUUGUCUCUACAAAAAAUAAAAUAUUAGCAACUCCGUCUCAAAAAAAAAAACAAAGGGUGUUUUCAGCAGGGGAGUGACAUAAUGUGACUCCUGUCUUAUAAAAACAGUAAAUAAGAAAGUAACUUUGACAUUAUUAUUAUUCUUUGAGAUGGCAUCUUACUUUGUUGCCCAGGCUGGAGUACAGUGGCGAGAUCUCGGAUCACUGCAACCUCCUGCCUCAGACUCCCGAGUAGCUGGGAUUACAGGCACCUGCUAUCAUGCCUGGCUAAUUUUUGUGUUUUUGUAGAGAUAGGCUUUCACCAUGUUGGCCAGGCUGGUCCUGAACUCCUGACCUCAGGUGAUCCACCCACCUCGGCCUCCAAAAGUGCUGGGAUUACAGACAUGAGCCACCAUGGCCGACUAGGAAACAAAAUAUUUUUAAAUGCACUAAUAAUAUAGGUUUUAGUUCUAAAAUAUGAUUACCUUGUUUUCUAUGACUUCUGCACAGUAUUUAACAUUUGGCCAACUAUGGUAACUCCUACUAUAUAAUCUAAUAAUAAUGCAUUUGCAACCCAUUAUUCCUAGAGCUGUGAAAUAAUAACAAUGAGGAGGACUAUUAAUGAAAUAUAAACCAUAGGCUCUAGUUCUAAAACAUAGUCCUAUUUCUUAUCAAGUGUCUGUUAUUAGGCACAUGGGUGAUAAUCAGAACCCAAAGUAUAGAUUAAGUGUACUGCAGUUUUUGCCUGUAAGGAGCAUGAAAUCCUUAAGACCUAAUAGUGAAAUUAUAUGUGAAACAAUAAUCAUUUUACACAUCAACAUAUCUGACAGCACAGGGCAGCUAAUAAUGGAAUUUUAUUCCUACUGUCUAAAAUAGUUACAAGUUAUAUGAUAAUAACAAAGAAAGAGUAUUGAGUUUUUAAUCUAGUAUUUAUUCAUAGAUAAUAUACGUAGGUCAGACCAAGCAGUCUGUUGAUGUGUAAAAUGCAUAUUUUUUGCAUAUUACUGGAAAGGUAUUUAAGUACACACUUUUUUUCAUUUUCUAUUUAUUGUCAGUUAAUUUCUGGCCACUAAUGAUAUACAUGAAUAUAGUGUUAUUGAGG